CGUGCGCAGCGGGCUGCCAUUGGCUGGAGCAGCGGCUGCGUGGGUCGCGAUGCUGUCGGCUCCGUGGGUGCUGGUAAAUCCGGCCCAGGAUGUAGAGAUGGCGGUGCCUGACGGCGCGUCUGACGCGGAGUUGGGUGGGAUAGAGAGUAGGGGGCAGUAGUCGGGGGAGGUAGGAGAAGGAGGAGGCGGCUGCGAAUCGCUUACAAAUGGCUCCGAAGCAUGGCCUGAAGUCUAAAUUCCAGGAGGGUGAGAGAGUGCUGUGCUUUCAUGGGCCUCUUCUUUAUGAAGUUUGGGUUAGCCAAGAAGUUCAUUCGGUUUUCCUGUAAGCUGGCUCUAGUAGCAUUUAGUUGUCUUUAACUUCGUUCAAAACAAUUUUGUUAGAUUGUAUUGUGACAGCUGUUAUACCAGCGUGCAUUUAAAAAAAACUUAUCAAAAUUGGUGAAUUUUUGUGUGGCCAUUUUAAUAUUGAAGAUGGAAAAAAAAGCAACAUUUUCAGCAUAUUAUGCUUUAUUAUUUCAAGAAAGGUAAAAAUGCAACUGAAAUGCAAAAAAGAUUUGUGCAGUGUAUGGAGAAGGUGCUGUGACUGAUCGAACAUGUCAAAAGUGGUUUGUGAAGUUUCAUGCUGGAGAUUUCUUGCUGGACGAUGCUCCACAGUCUGGUAGACCAGUUGAAGUUGAUAGCGAUCAAAUUGAUACAUUCACUGAGAACAAUCAACAUUAUACCACGCGGAGAUAGCCGACAUACUCAAAAUAUCCAGAUCAAGUGUUGAAAAUCAUUUGCACCAGCUUGGUUAUGUCAGUCGCUUUGAUGUUUGGGUUCCACAUAAGUUAAGCCAGCGGUUCCCAACCUUUUUGGCACCAGGGACCGGUUUCGUGGAAGACAGUUUUUCCACAGAUGGA